UCCAGACUCCUACGGGAGGCAGCAGUGGGGAAUAUUGCACAAUGGGGGAAACCCUGAUGCAGCAACGCCGCGUGGGUGAAGGAGCGUUUCGGCGCGUAAAGCCCUGUCAGCGGGGAAGAAGAAAGACGGUACCCGACCAAGAAGCUCCGGCUAACUACGUGCCAGCAGCCGCGGUAAUACGUAGGGAGCAAGCGUUAUCCGGAUUUAUUGGGUGUAAAGGGUGCGUAGACGGGAAAUUAAGUUAGUUGUGAAAUCCCUCGGCUCAACUGAGGAACUGCAACUAAAACUGAUUUUCUUGAGUGCAGGAGAGGUAAGUGGAAUUCCUAGUGUAGCGGUGAAAUGCGUAGAUAUUAGGAGGAACACCAGUGGCGAAGGCGACUUACUGGACUGUAACUGACGUUGAGGCACGAAAGUGUGGGGAGCAAACAGGAUUAGAUACCCCGGUAUGC
rnacentral:rRNA from 1 species